rnacentral:rRNA from 1 species
AUCCUGGCUCAGGAUGAACGCUAGCGGCAGGCUUAACACAUGCAAGUCGAGGGGUAUAUUUCUUCGGAGAUAGAGACCGGCGCACGGGUGCGUAACGCGUAUGCAAUCUACCUUUUACAGAGGGAUAGCCCAGAGAAAUUUGGAUUAAUACCUCAUAGUAUAUCACAAUCGCAUGAUUGAGUUAUUAAAGUCACAACGGUAAAAGAUGAGCAUGCGUCCCAUUAGCUAGUUGGUAAGGUAACGGCUUACCAAGGCUACGAUGGGUAGGGGUCCUGAGAGGGAGAUCCCCCACACUGGUACUGAGACACGGACCAGACUCCUACGGGAGGCAGCAGUGAGGAAUAUUGGACAAUGGGCGCAAGCCUGAUCCAGCCAUGCCGCGUGCAGGAUGACGGUCCUAUGGAUUGUAAACUGCUUUUAUACGAGAAGAAACACUNCCGACGUGUCGGAGCUUGACGGUAUCGUAAAAAUAAGGAUCG